rnacentral:rRNA from 1 species
ACUCCCAAACCCCUGUGAACAUACCAAUUGUUGCCUCGGCGGAUCAGCCCGCUCCCGGUAAAACGGGACGGCCCGCCAGAGGACCCCUAAACUCUGUUUCUAUAUGUAACUUCUGAGUAAAACCAUAAAUAAAUCAAAACUUUCAACAACGGAUCUCUUGGUUCUGGCAUCGAUGAAGAACGCAGCAAAAUGCGAUAAGUAAUGUGAAUUGCAGAAUUCAGUGAAUCAUCGAAUCUUUGAACGCACAUUGCGCCCGCCAGUAUUCUGGCGGGCAUGCCUGUUCGAGCGUCAUUUCAACCCUCAAGCCCUCGGGUUUGGUGUUGGGGAUCGGCGAGCCCUUUGCGGCAAGCCGGCCCCGAAAUCUAGUGGCGGUCUCGCUGCAGCUUCCAUUGCGUAGUAGUAAAACCCUCGCAACUGGUACGCGGCGCGGCCAAGCCGUUAAACCCCCAACUUCUGAAUGUUGACCUCGGAUCAGGUAGGAAUACC